rnacentral:rRNA from 1 species
UAAUAUAAGGUUUAACCUGCUCAAUGAAAUUUAAAUAGCCGCAGUAUUUUGACUGUGCAAAGGUAGCAUAAUAAUUAGUUUCUUAAUUAGAAACUGGAAUGAAUGGUUGGACAAGAAAAUUACUGUCUCUUUUUUAAUAUUAUUGAAUUUUAUUUUUAAGUGAAAAAGCUUAAAUUUUUAUAAAAGACGAGAAGACCCUAUAGAGUUUAAUAUUUUCUUUAAUAAUAAGAUAUUAGUAUGCUAGUUUUUAAAAAAAUAUUUGAUUGGGGUGAUUGAGAGAAAAGCAAAAUUCUUUUAGUUUUUAAUUGAUUAUUUUCAAUUUUUUAAUCUAUAAUUUAUAAAAUUAAAAUAAAUUACCUUAGGGAUAACAGCGUAAUUUUUCUUUAAAGUUCUUAUUAAAAGGAAAGUUUGCGACCUCGAUGUUGGAUUAAAAUUAAUUUUUGGUGCAGUAACUAAAAAAUUAGGUCUGUUCGACCUUUAAAAUUUUACAUGAUCUGAGUUUAAACCGGUGUGAGCCAGGUUGGAUUCUAUCUUUAGAAAAUUUUUAUAUUUUAGUACGAAAGGACCAAAUAUGAAUUAAAUUAAUUGU